rnacentral:rRNA from 1 species
GCUCAUUAAAUCAGUUAUCGUUUAUUUGAUAGUACCUUACUACAUGGAUAACCGUGGUAAUUCUAGAGCUAAUACAUGCUAAAAACCCCGACUCGCGGAGGGGUGUAUUUAUUAGAUUAAAAACCAAUGCCCUUCGGGGCUCCUUGGUGAUUCAUAAUAACUUCACGAAUCGCAUGGCCUUGCGCCGGCGAUGGUUCAUUCAAAUUUCUGCCCUAUCAACUUUCGAUGGCAGGGUCUUGGCCUGCCAUGGUUACAACGGGUAACGGAGGGUUAGGGCUCGACCCCGGAGAAGGAGCCUGAGAAACGGCUACUACAUCCAAGGAAGGCAGCAGGCGCGCAAAUUACCCAAUCCCGAUUCGGGGAGGUAGUGACAAUAAAUACUGAUACAGGGCUCUUUCGGGUCUUGUAAUUGGAAUGAGUACAAUUUAAAUCCCUUAACGAGGAACAAUUGGAGGGCAAGUCUGGUGAGCGAACUAGCUUCUACUGCUGGCGCCAGAGAUAGUUCUCCUAAAAACUAUUCAAGCGCCCCGCGAAGUGCGGGCGGGCGCCGGCAAGGCAACCUGGAUACGGGGGAGGCUAAGGGGCGGACGCCCUACGCUAAUCCCGGGCAAAGCGCGUUGUGUACACAACACGCCUGCGUAGAGCGCGGAAAGGUGCCGGUCUCAUGCUGGGGAUGGGGCUCGAGGGACGUGCCAGCACCUUACGAAAGUAGGCCUUGCCACUAGAGUACCCGCCAUACGAUAGUGCAAGCUCAGGUGUAUUUCAGCGGCCAGCAGCCGCGGUAAUUCCAGCUCCAAUAGCGUAUAUUAAAGUUGUUGCAGUUAAAAAGCUCGUAGUUGAACCUUGGGCCUGGCUGGCCGGUCCGCCUCACCGCGUGCACUGGUUCGGCCGGGCCUUUCCCUCUGGGGAUCCCCAUGCCCUCCACUGGGUGUGGCGGGGAACCAGGACUUUUACUGUGAAAAAAUUAGAGUGUUCAAAGCAGGCUUAUGCUCGAAUACAUUAGCAUGGAAUAAUAGAAUAGGACGUGCGGUUCUAUUUUGUUGGUUUCUAGGACCGCCGUAAUGAUUAAUAGGGACAGUCGGGGGCAUCAGUAUUCAAUUGUCAGAGGUGAAAUUCUUGGAUUUAUUGAAGAUUAAUUAUUGGGAAAGCAUUUGCCAAGGAUGUUUUCAUUAAUCAGGAACGAAAGUUAGGGGAUGGAAGACGAUUGUUAAGUGCUGUAGCGGCAUUUGGUCGUCGAAAAUCAAGCAGCCGCUUGGUUAGUCCGUAGGGAGUACGGGGGACACCGUCAAAUUGCGGGGACCUCCUUAGAGCCCGUGCCACACCUUUCCCCUCGAAAGAGCCAGGGUCAGUCGUAAGAGCGCACGGGAUUGGCCAAUCCGCAGCCAAGUCCUCACUGCCCCCGGGCAAUGGAUGCAGUUCACAGACUAAAUGUCGGUGGGGGACGUCGGUAGAUGUCUCAUAAGUUAUAGUCGAUUCCGUCCUGAAAAGGUCGGCCUGAAGCAGAUACCGUCGUAGUCUUAACCAUAAACUAUGCCGACUAGGGAUCGGACGAUGUUAUUUUUUGACUCGUUCGGCAC